UCUCUGCCUCUUUGCCUUUGGUCUCUGCUUGCCCUCUGUGCCACGUUUGCCCUCUGCUCUCUUUGUCCUCUCCCCAUCCCUGCUGUAUCUCCCUUUUUGCUCUCUAGGUCUCCUGGCUCUCUCUUCAGUUUGUUUGCCUCUCUUCCCCCCUUGCCCUUGUCUCUUGCCAUCAAUAAAUGAACUCUGUGGCCAAAGGAUGAUGAGGAACGUGGAUGUGCCUGUACCUGAGGUAGCUGACUCUGUUGCCCAAGGGCCUGUGUGUUUGCAGAGGUUGCCCACUCUCUGUCUGGGGUGGGACAACCCACGGAGCUGAUGAUGGAGAGGAUCUCCUGGGCACUGGAGGCAGCUGAGUGGUGCUGGCUGGCCCUUGGUGGGGAUGGUUGGUAAGCAGGUUUUUAACAGGUGUCCAAGCAGUGGUGAUGAGCGGAGCACCUGUCUGUGGGGAUUGCACUGACCUGGCCAAGCCUCUUAUUGUUCCUUAAUCCUUAAGGAGACAUAAAAAUAAAGUUGAAUCAACAGCAUUUUGAAGCUGAUUUAAAUAGUGGAAGGAGCUGAAAUUGUCUGGGCCAAGGUCCCAUUUCAACCUUUCUCUUGUAUGGAACAUUAAUGGGUAGGAGAUUCUUUGUAGGAUGCAUUGAAACACUUAUGUAUAUAU